CCCGCAGGGCUCCGGGCGGCCGUGACCCUGCUGGAGUCCGGGGGGGACCUCCAGCCCCCCGGGGGCUCCCUACGCCUCCUCUGCCGCGGCUCUGGGUUUGAUUUUGGGAAGUUUGGAAUGUACUGGAUCCGCCAGAGACCCGGGCGGGGGCUGGAAUAUGUCGUGAGUAUCAGCAGCAGUGGUGGCAGCACCAACUACGCGCCGUCGGUCAAGGGCCGGUUCAGGAUCUCCAGGGACAACGGGCAGAGCUCGGUGACGCUGACCAUGAGCAGCCUCAGGGACGAGGAUUCCGCCGUCUAUUUCUGCGCCAAGUCGGCGCUGCUGGAGCCCCUCUGGAGCCGUUUCGUUCCCCAGCGUCGCUCUCACGGCACGGACACGGCGACGGGCAGGUGCCGGCAGCGCACGGCCCCGCGGCAGGCACAAAAAUCAAUGCCGCAGCUGACUUCAAAGGGAUUGGGACCAAUCAAAGAACACAAAACCACACUGAUAUGA